UCUAAGCAUGAAGCCCCCCUCAAGAUGAGAUUUCCCAACUUCGGUUAUAAGAUCCCUCAAAGAUGAUGAGGUUAAUAGGUUCGAGGUGGAAGCAUGGUGACAUGUGGAGCUGACGAAUACUAAUCGAUCGAAGACUUAAUCAAAUU
rnacentral:rRNA from 1 species